CCUGCAAUGUCAGGUUUACCACAUGAGUCACAAACCUCAGGUUAGCUGGGAGUUUUAUGGGAUUGUAUCCUAAGAACCUCUUGCUUGCGAUUCUCUUGUGAGCAGAAAUUUUAGUGUUUUGUUUACUUUGAUUCAGGUGCUUCUGUGGGAAACAUGUGUGUCCAGUGCCUGCUGAGGCCAGGAGAGAUCACUGACCGGAUCCUCUGUAGCCAUCAGAUACUGGGGCUGGGAACUGAACCGGAGUCGUCUGUGCCAGUAGCAGGUGGUCCUAACCACUGAGCAUUCCCCGGGCCCCACUGCCUGCAAUUAUUGACCACCAAUUGUUCCCUGUCUUCUCAGUAUUCUAUAAUUAAUAUAACUUUUAACUAUUUAAAGACUUGGUAAAAACAAAACAACCAACCAACCAACAACAACAACCCAGAAGCCCCAGAGUGGAUUAUCCUGUAAAACUGAAUAUUCCCUGAAAAAGGAAUAACCCGAGUUGUCAAGACGAGGGGGACCUGCCAGGUCUGCUGUAGCACGUGCCUGUGAUCCCAGCACUUGAGAGACUAUGGCGAGAUUAUGAGUUUGAGAGCAAACUGAACUAAAUAGUAAGGUUUCGUCUCAAAAAGGCCAACCAACAAAACCAGAAAACAACAAAUCCCAAGUCGAGGGACUUACCUCAUGUAUAGGGUAUGUAUAGUUAUGUCAGGCCUGAGAUGCUGUACUGUUUCCAAGUUGAAGUGUAUUCCUAUGGCCCAGUUGUAUUGAGAUAAACUCUUAUAAGGAAUAUGGCUACCAGAUACAGCACACGAACCAGGGGCAGGCCAGGAAAAACAGACACUGUGCUGAUGGGGCAUGUGGAACAGAGCUCAUUAAAAUGUAGACAAGCAUCCCAGCUAACACAGCGCAGGACCCAGGAAUGAGCCACCCAGGAGCACAGCUAGGGCUCCGUGGGAGCUUAGAGACAGAAAGGAAGAUGCUCGUUAAGAGGGUCAUGGAAGCACGCAUCAGCUCCGGAGAGAGGAAGCCCGGCUUCUCGGAGUGAGCUUUCCACUCCAGCCCAGAGUCAGCCAGGAUUCCCUGCUAACUCUUACAGGAAUCCCUGGGAUUUUGACAAAGGACAUAGGAGGGACUUGACUACUGAUCUGUAAUUCAGUGGGUCACUGUGCGUUUUUAUUAAAGGACAUGGAAUGGUUCCAUGUGUCCCACAUUGCACAAUGGCUGGAUUUUACUUCCCCUCUCACUGGGUGACGGGAACCAUGAGAGAGCGAGGAACUAAGUUGUGACUCAGGAUGCAAAUGUGUGUGUGCAUGAUUCAGACAGAGGCCCGGUGCACGGGAACCAAAGCUUCGUAGGAUGAUAGCAUGAAUGGAAACAGAGGAGACGAACUCUGCAACAAGUCCUUGCCACCUGGGAAACGAUAAGCCAUCGAUGGUCAUAAAUGCCAAGGGGGCCACUUUAAAGACAAAGGAAAACAGUCUGUGCCUCCCUCCAUGAUCCACAACUUUACCAGCUCUGGGAAGUUUAACUCGGUUUCCUGUCCCAGGCAUGGCUUCCUAUUUCGGGGAGGGUCUUAACUCCAAGGAGAGAGCUGCUUGGGUACCUUCACGUCUGUGAGUGCCACUGCUGCAGUCUUAGGGUUCUCAUGCCAUGCUGGUGUCCCUCUCUCCCCUCUUUUAGAAGCUAGCACGAUACUUUCUGGCGCCAUGAACAACAAUUAAUGAAAAAAGAGGCCAUAAAUUUGAAAGAGAGCCAGGAGGGUUAACAUACGGGAAGAAAGAGGAAAAAGGGAAGGAGGUAACAAUACAAUUAUGUUAUAAUCUUAAAGGUAAAAGAAAGAAUUGAAAAAAGAGAACAGAAUCAAUCAAUCAUAACUUGAACAAAAAAAGGAGGGAAGCAGCACCCAGGGUACACGCUCAGCUAAGUCAUCGGUAAUAAAUUUCCCAAAAAUGUUUAAGUGCAGAUGUGUUACACACCAACAGAGGUGCAGAACAAAAAAGAAGUUUCUGGAAGGGACAUUUUUCCAUCAAGCUGCACCUGGUUCUGGUGCUGCCGUGUCCCCUCUUCUCGCUUCCCUUGAACCCUUGAUGGAAGGAUUCCUGCCCCAUUCACACUUCCCUGGCUUCCCUGUGUAUUUCAUUACAGUUGAUGCCUUUGGGAUUUUACGGUUUGCUUGUGAAGAGCCUGAUUGGGUAAGUGUCCUUCGUGGACAACUGAAGCAACUUGCUGCCUACGUGUGGAACCUUUACGUGAUGGAGGCGUGCAGAAGCUCUUGCUUCUCCACUUCACUUUGCAUUCCUUGUUUCGGGGACAUAAGCUUCAACCAAACCCUGGAGCAGACAUGAUAGGUACAUGAUACUGUGUCUCUCUAGGGAUUUGACAAUCCUGCGCUAGCAUCUUGUGGCUAGGGGAGCUGAUAGGCUGGGAGGACAGUCUCCUCCCACCGCAAACUUGGUUUUCAACAUUCUUAGCUCUUCUGUGUGUCCACUUAUAGGAAGAUGCACAAAGCUCUCUGACUUGAUUUACAGCAAGUUCCAGCCAGAAACCUAUGGACUGGUGUUUCUCCUUUCUAAUGAACAAGAAAGGAUUUAAAAGGGAAAGAAAAUAGGUGUUUCCUAAAAUGGUCUUGCAUGUAUUGUCCAGGAUGUUCUGAAAUUCUUAGGCCUGAGCAAUCCUCCAGCCUCAGACUUCAAAGCAGCUGGAACGAACUACCCUGGGUGGCUAAGAGCAUACAAUAUAGAAGAUGAAUUCUGACAAACGAAGAAGCCAGAUUUUCUUGACAUCCUGGGAGGAAUGCUUCUUACUUAGGAAAGCAGUGAGCUGUAUUGAAUUAUUAAACUUUCCUCCAGCCUUCAUGUC